CCGGGGGCGGUCCCGGCGCCUCCCCAAAAUAUAAUAAACAAAAAUUAUAUUUUGAGGGGGCGAAUAGGAUCGACAAGAGCUAAAGAUCGCUCUUUACUCGGUAUAGUACCACCGUUAUCGGACUAAACAGUAGUUGCAAAUGACAACUAUGCGGAAGCACGUCUCGCCGCUUGAGUCGGCGUGAAUGCUUCAAAUUAAGUCUUAAACCGUCGCAGGUUUAAGCGGGGUUCGAAGGCACCUGGAAACAGAAGCCAA
rnacentral:tmRNA from 1 species